AUCGAACGCUGGCGGCAUGCCUUACACAUGCAAGUCGAACGGCAGCACGGGAGCAAUCCUGGUGGCGAGUGGCGAACGGGUGAGUAAAGUAUCGGAACGUGCCCAGUCGUGGGGGAUAACGUAGCGAAAGUUACGCUAAUACCGCAUACGAUCUAUGGAUGAAAGCGGGGGAUCGCAAGACCUCGCGCGAUUGGAGCGGCCGAUAUCAGAUUAGGUAGUUGGUGGGGUAAAGGCUCACCAAGCGGACGAUCUGUAGCUGGUCUGAGAGGACGACCAGCCACACUGGGACUGAGAAACGGCCCAGACUCCUACGGGAGGCAGCAGUGGGGAAUUUUGGACAAUGGGCGCAAGCCUGAUCAGCCAUGCCGCGUGCAGGAUGAAGGCCUUCGGGUUGUAAACUGCUUUUGUACGGAACGAAAAGGUUUGGCUUAAUACGUUGAACUCAUGACGGUACCGUAAGAAUAAGCACCGGCUAACUACGUGCCAGCAGCCGCCGUAA
rnacentral:rRNA from 1 species